GACGAACGCUGGCGGCGUGCUUAACACAUGCAAGUCGAACGGAAAGGCCCUGCUUUUGUUGGUUGCUCGAGUGGCGAACGGGUGAGUAACACGUGAGUAACCUGCCCUUGACUUUGGGAUAACUUCACGAAACUGGGGCUAAUACCGGAUAUGAGCUCCUGCUGCAUGGUGGUGGUUGGAAAGUUUCGGCGGUUGGGGAUGGUCUCGCGGCUUAUCAGCUUGUUGGUGGAGUAGUGGCUUUCCAAGGGUUUGACGGGUAGCCGGCCUGAGAGGGUGAACGGCCACAAGGGGACUGAGAGACGGCCCAGACUCCUACGGGAGGCAGCAGUGGGGAAUAUGGCACAAUGGGCGGAAGCCUGAUGCAGAAACGCCGCGUGCGGGAUGACGGCCUUCGGGUUGUAAACAGCUUUCGACUGUGACGAAGCGUGAGUGACGGUAAUGGGUAAAGAAGCACCGGCUAACUACGUG
rnacentral:rRNA from 1 species